CUGCCUCCUGAGUGCCGGGAUUAAAGGCGUGCACCACCACCGCCCGGCUGCAAGGUAUCUCUUAAAUUAGUUUUCACUGAUUUUUUUUUUUGCUCCCCUGAGCAUAUUUUUGCUAGGUACAUGAUUCCAAAGGCAUCCUAAGCUGGAAAAAAAGAGAAGAAAAGAAUGAAAAUGAAUGGGCACUAUGGUUGUUUAGUGUCCGUGAAGUGAAGAGCAGCUCUUUCCACAGUCCAGAAGCAGGCAUUGACAUUUCCCCAGAACCACUUGCUGUCAUAGCAAUAAUGUUCCCUAUCUGCCCCUCAUAUCUCAUUUUAGAGACCACAGAGCCAUCCUGCUCUCCUUGAACUUGAUCUCUGAGUACAGUUCCCAUUAGGAGACAAACUCAAAUUUCUUGUUCAAGAAUGGAAGUCACUUUAUUGCUAAAGGCAUAAACUUUGGAUGACAUAAUGUAGAAGGAAACAACAACAACAAAAAAUACUUCCACCAAGUCCUAAGCCACUGUGACAGAACAUCUAGAUAAGCUAAACAGACCAGCGAACCAAUGCAUAAGUAAAACGAAACUCAGGUGGUUCCCAUGCUGGCCCAUGAGUGGAUACUUUUGACUUCUGGCUCUUUUGAUUGCUAUCAGAGGAUGGGAAGCCAUUUCCUCGGUCUUCACAGGGUGUCCGAUGCUCUGGAGGCUCCCACUCAAAACUGUAGCACUCGACAGAGUGAGCAGAAAAGAUUGCUGCAAGUUCAAAACUAACCCUGGAAACCAGAGCCAAAACAAAAUUAAAACAAGAAAACAAAACAAAAUGUCAUAGGAUACUCAUUCAUUUUCAGUCAACUUUACUUUUCAUCACGGCUCCUGUGAAAACGUGUCCAGCUAAGGAUGAGGGACAGCAGGUGCAGCAACACUCCACAGCAUGGUGACAGAUGACAAUCUAUUGCAGGUACCACCGACGAGCUUGCUUAGGAAGUACAACGCACUCUGGAAGAAACCAUUCCAAAAAUAAGACUUAAGGAGAGCUGAAGGGGUAACACCGGAUCGAAGCUGGUUACAACUUCUGCUCCCCGCAGAUGGGAGGAGGGGGAGUGGAGGGAGAGGGAGGAAAAGAGGGGAACUGGGAUUGGA